AUUCAUCCUAAGAGAUUUAUUAGAGAGCAAAAAUAUUAGUAAGGGGAGAAAUGAAUAGUCAAAUGGAGCACUUUCAACCAAAAAAACCUAGCUCCAAUGUCUCUCUAACAAAGCAUGAACUUGUCAUCUCCACCGUCGUAAGAGAUGUUGAAGUAUACACUGAGAGCACAACGCGAGAAUUGAAAGCCAAACCUCCAACACCAGCUAUCAAAGCAGGAAGAAAUGGCCAACAUCACAGCUCUCAAGCUUGACAAACUUCUGUUGCAUGCAUUAUGAAUAUUCCAACUACAAAUAUUUCUGUCCAAAAAAAAAAAAACACC